GUUGAAUUUUAGUGUAAAUAUCACCAUAGAGUUGUAGGGUUAGAGUGUAUUUUUAUGUGUGUAUGCCCAUAAAAACCUUUCAAAUGAAGCUUUGGAUUUUGUAUAUGCAUGGUGUAAGAAAAAAAUAUGUGCUUUUUAAGGGUUCCCAACCAUAUUUAUGCUCAAUAUUCAUGCUUUCACGGGAAAUACCGGAUUUUAAAUAUGUCUACUAAAUAAAAUCU